rnacentral:rRNA from 1 species
GUGUGUGAAGAAGGCCUUCGGGUUGUAAAGCACUUUAAGCGGGGAGGAAGGCUUCUGGCUAAUAUCCAGGAGCAUUGACGUUACCCGCAGAAUAAGCACCCGGCUAACUCUGUGCCAGCAGCCGCGGUAAUACAGAGGGUGCAAGCGUUAAUCGGAAUUACUGGGCGUAAAGCGCGCGUAGGCGGUUUGUAAGUCGGAUGUGAAAUCCCCGGGCUCAACCUGGGCACUGCAUCCGAUACUGGCUGACUAGAGUGUGGGAGAGGAAGGUAGAAUUCCAGGUGUAGCGGUGAAAUGCGUAGAGAUCUGGAGGAAUACCGAUGGCGAAGGCAGCCUUCUGGCCUGACACUGACGCUGAGGUGCGAAAGCAUGGGGAGCAAACAGGAUUAGAUACCCUGGUAGUCCAUGCCGUAAACGAUGUCAACUAGCCGUUGGGGACCUUGAGUCUUUAGUGGCGCAGCUAACGCGAUAAGUUGACCGCCUGGGGAGUACGGCCGCAAGGUUAAAACUCAAAUGAAUUGACGGGGG